AAUGCUUCCCAGCUAUUGAACUGCGGCCUGGCCGGUCGCGCUUUUUUCAGGCCACCCUGUUCCUUUGCUUGUCAUCCUCAGUUCCUGGGCUUGGCUAACGCAAUUGUUCCCUAUUCACAGGACGUCUNUUUUGCUCCCUCCCCCUUCUUCCUUAUGCGCGUGUAUGUUUGUGAUCCUGACCUCAUGGACUUUGCUGCAGUGAGGCCGGUUCCAGCCCCUCCACACUUGGCAGGAAGAGAAGCAGCAACUCGUGAUAAUUGAAUUAUCGUUGUCGCUAUCGCCGUUGUGAAGAACACGCUCUCAAAUCAGAGCGAUGGCCUGGUUGUUUCCUGAGGAACCUGCCGGCGCCCUCCCGCUGGCGGCGAGCGCAGCGACGGUGGGCCUUUUCCCGGCUUGUAAUACUGCUUAAUAAGAAACAAAGCCAAGCGGAGCUUGGGAAAUGAUCGCGCCGCAGCUUCAGAGAGGGACGCAGAAAGGGCCUAGCAGGGUCCCACCUCCUGGGGGAGGAAGCUUCUUUCCGCGAGCAGGAUGACAAGCCGAGGAAGGAACGCGGCUGGAAGGACACGUCAAGUUAAGCCGACUUCAAGCCCGCUGGAACCCGCCCUGCUUCGUCUGAACUACUUUGUUAAUUAUUGCAGGAACGUUCACUGGGAUGUCCGUGGAAAUGCUCGGGAUCACCUGGCACUGGACGUCUGCGCUCCUCAGAAGAUUGCACCUUUAUGCCAGAGAAAACUGGCACGGGACGGGGAUGAGGGACGGACCUGGCCUUCUAUGCUUCUCCNGCCCAGGAGGAAAAGACAGGCAGACGGAGACAGCCGAGACCGCNAACGCUCCUUGGUCGCCAGUCUGCGCCUCGAAGUUUGUCCCAAUGGGAUUUCUUCCCAGACAGGAGUGCAUCCGACUGUUUUAAACAGCACCUUGUUGCAGUAUUUCAUCCCACAGANUUUCAUACCUCAGGACGAGCACCCAGCCAACCUAUAUACAGCUACAAUCAUAGUCGGGUUAAGUAUGUAUAUAGACGCAUAGUCGUCUUGCCUGACCGUCCAGCCGGAUGCGUCCCUUUCUCAAGAGACUGCGUUUUGCCUUGCGGGUNCGGCUACUUCUGGGAUAAAAUAUUCAGUUACACCCUGCCUCUGUGUCAAGCUGUACUUUCUAUUUUGCCUUUCAGUCUUUUUAAAAAAUCUCAUCAAGAGAAUCUUUUGGUGACCAG
rnacentral:lncRNA from 1 species